CGCACGGGUGCGUAACGCGUGGGAAUCUGCCCUUGGGUACGGAAUAACUCAGAGAAAUUUGUGCUAAUACCGUAUAAUGUCUUCGGACCAAAGAUUUAUCGCCCAAGGAUGAGCCCGCGUAGGAUUAGCUAGUUGGUGAGGUAAAAGCUCACCAAGGCGACGAUCCUUAGCUGGUCUGAGAGGAUGAUCAGCCACACUGGGACUGAGACACGGCCCAGACUCCUACGGGAGGCAGCAGUGGGGAAUAUUGGACAAUGGGCGAAAGCCUGAUCCAGCAAUGCCGCGUGAGUGAUGAAGGCCCUAGGGUUGUAAAGCUCUUUUACCCGGGAUGAUAAUGACAGUACCGGGAGAAUAAGCUCCGGCUAACUUCGUGCCAGCAGCCGCGGUAAUACGAGGGGAGCUAGCGUUGUUCGGAAUUACUGGGCGUAAAGCGCGCGUAGGCGGUUUUUUAAGUCAGAGGUGAAAGCCCGGGGCUCAACCCCGGAAUAGCCUUUGAAACUGGAAAACUAGAAUCUUGGAGAGGUCAGUGGAAUUCCGAGUGUAGAGGUGAAAUUCGUAGAUAUUCGGAGGAACACCAGUGGCGAAGGCGACUGACUGGACAAGUAUGACGCUGAGGUG
rnacentral:rRNA from 1 species